AUGGCCACAUUACGUUGAAACACCGGUUCUAGUAGGAUUACCGAAGUUAAGCAACGUCGAACCUGGUCAGUACUUAGACGGAUGACCGCUUUGGAAUACCAAGUGCUGUAAG